rnacentral:piRNA from 1 species
UGGUGCAUGAAGGUUAUGGGAAGAGUCUC